AGAACGAACGCUGGCGGCAGGCCUAAUACAUGCAAGUCGAACGAUGUAGCAAUACAUAGUGGCGCACGGGUGAGUAACGCGUGGGAAUCUGCCCAUUAGUACGGAAUAACUGCGGGAAACUGCAGCUAAUACCGUAUACGCCCUUCGGGGAAGAUUUAUCGCUAAUGGAUGAGCCCGCGUAAGAUUAGCUAGUUGGUGGGGUAAAAGCCUACCAAGGCUACGAUCUUUAGCUGGUCUGAGAGGACGACCAGCCACACUGGAACUGAGACACGGUCCAGACUCCUACGGGAGGCAGCAGUAGGGAAUAUUGGACAAUGGGGGGAAACCCUGAUCCAGCCAUGCCGCGUGAGUGAUGAAGGCCUUAGGGUUGUAAAGCUCUUUUACCAGGAAGAUAAUGACGGUACCUGGAGAAUAAGUUCCGGCUAACUUCGUGCCAGCAGCCG
rnacentral:rRNA from 1 species